rnacentral:rRNA from 1 species
ACGCUGGCGGCAGGCCUAACACAUGCAAGUCGAGCGGUAGAGAGAAGCUUGCUUCUCUUGAGAGCGGCGGACGGGUGAGUAAUGCCUAGGAAUCUGCCUGGUAGUGGGGGAUAACGUUCGGAAACGGACGCUAAUACCGCAUACGUCCUACGGGAGAAAGCAGGGGACCUUCGGGCCUUGCGCUAUCAGAUGAGCCUAGGUCGGAUUAGCUAGUUGGUGAGGUAAUGGCUCACCAAGGCGACGAUCCGUAACUGGUCUGAGAGGAUGAUCAGUCACACUGGAACUGAGACACGGUCCAGACUCCUACGGGAGGCAGCAGUGGGGAAUAUUGGACAAUGGGCGAAAGCCUGAUCCAGCCAUGCCGCGUGUGUGAAGAAGGUCUUCGGAUUGUAAAGCACUUUAAGUUGGGAGGAAGGGCAGUUACCUAAUACGUGAUUGUUUUGACGUUACCGACAGAAUAAGCACCGGCUAACUCUGUGCCAGCAGCCGCGGUAAUACAGAGGGUGCAAGCGUUAAUCGGAAUUACUGGGCGUAAAGCGCGCGUAGGUGGUUUGUUAAGUUGGAUGUGAAAUCCCCGGGCUCAACCUGGGAACUGCAUUCAAAGCUGACUGACUAGAGUAUGGUAGAGGGUGGUGGAAUUUCCUGUGUAGCGGUGAAAUGCGUAGAUAUAGGAAGGAACACCAGUGGCGAAGGCGACCACCUGGACUGAUACUGACACUGAGGUGCGAAAGCGUGGGGAGCAAAC